UCCGGUUUGUCACCGGCAGUCUCCCUAGAGUGCCCUUGCGUAGCAACUAGGGACAAGGGUUGCGCUCGUUGCGGGACUUAACCCAACAUCUCACGACACGAGCUGACGACAGCCAUGCAGCACCUGUGUUACGGCUCCCUUUCGGGCACGCCCACCUCUCGGCAAGCUUCCGUACAUGUCAAGGGUAGGUAAGGUUAUUCGCGUUGCAUCGAAUUAAUCCACAUCAUCCACCGCUUGUGCGGGUCCCCGUCAAUUCCUUUGAGUUUUAAUCUUGCGACCGUACUCCCCAGGCGGGCAACUUCACGCGUUAGCUGCGGUACCAAGGAAUUGCUCCCCCCAGCGCCUAGUACCCAUCGUUUACGGCGUGGACUAC
rnacentral:misc_RNA from 1 species